GCUUUAGUCUGAUUCUGAUGGAGCGCCACCACCCUCUGCUGGCCAAAUAGCAAAAGUGGCAUACACAUGGCAUAAGCAAAAGUAUUUUCUCAUCAAAUUUAUGAAUGGAGAAAACCCAAAGAUAAUUGGUACAAGGAAACCCAUUUUUAAACCAUAUAACUGGACCUUUUGGGGAACUUUUGGUGACACUAAACGGAAAUCGAACAAAUCGAGCAAAUCGAACAAACAACAUCUGUACUGUAAACUAAAAGUUUACUUGAGAAGCCCUGUAGCUUUAAUAGCACCUGUAUUUAUUUAUUUAUUUAUUUUCUGCAUAUAUCAUACAUGCUAACCGUUUGGAGCUACAAUCACAAUGUUACUUCACUGAAUCAUCAAAAUUGUUUGAAAAGUACUAGUGUAAAGAACAUUAAACGUUUUUAUUUCAUGCUAACUUCCUGUAAAAUUGACGAUGAAUUGAAUUUCGCGCCCCUUAGGAACGCUGGUUUCUUCAGACUGUUUUGUGAUUCAACACUGCCACCUGCUGGUCAUCCGGGUGACUUGCACUAUGUGCUACAGUUGAGCCUUUGUAUUUAGGCUACGUCAAAGCACAGCAACACUUCACACACAUGAUUAUAAUAUGUAGUUAGCCCUAGAUUCAAGCUUUCUCAAUCAAGCACAUUCUCAUUUCCCAAUAUUUUUUUCAAGGAGUUUGGCGUGUUUAAAAAUGGCUCAGUGGCCAAAACCACACCCUGUUCACUACAGUUUACUCUUUUGAUUCGUGUCUGAAAGAUUAUCCAGCACACUUGUGAAAUUCCACGAACUACAAAGCAUCUAUAUUAGGUGGUCCAGAAUUCCAUUUAUGCACAUGUAAAACAUAGUGUGUGUAUGAAAUAGGGAACCAUUUUGAAUACCUGGAGAGAUUGGCAAACUCUAGUCCACAGAUUCCCAACCUUGGUCCUGAAGUACCCUGCACUUUAUAAUGUUCUGCACAUUAUAGAGUUUUCCUUGCUCCUAACACAUAUGAUUCAACUAAUCAGCUCGUUAACAGUGGGUAAGUGAUUGUCUGAGCAUGCAAAACAUUCAAAUGUGUACUACUGAGGUUCUCAAGGUGUCUGUCUCAAUCACACUCGCCAGAAGGGGGCAGCAGCCUGCCAUGGUACUGUAACAUCAGCACAUCUGUGUUACAGAUCUCUGUUCUGCCAGUCCUUGUCCUAUACAUAAGAAGAAGAAAAAAAACUAAAUACUAAAAUAUUUAUUCAUUUUGACCCCAUGUAGAUUCUGAUUAUUAGCUAAUAAUGUGUCAUGGUUUGAAGAGCAACCCCAUCCAUCCAUCAAAUUUCCAUACCGCUCAUCUUACACAGGGUUGAAGAGGAGCAUGGAGCCUCUCAGGGAACUCAGGGCACAAGUUGGGGGACACCCUGGAGAGCACCAAGCCCAUUGCAGGGCACAAUCGCACACAUAUACACAACAUUUUGAAAUUGCCAAUCAGCCUACAACGUAUGUCUUUGGACUGACAGACCCAGAGGAAACCCUGGCCGAACAUACAAACACCUUUCACGCCGAGCAGAGGCAGGAUUCAAACCCUCAACUCUGGAGGUGUGAGGCAAACAUGCUAACCACUAUACCAUGGUGCCCCCUCUUGAGGAGCAACCAAAUUUGGUAAACAGUACUGGCAAGCUAAUGCAUACAUUCAUUUGUUUUCAUUAACCGCUUUAUCCUGGUCAGGGUUGUGGUGGGUCCAGAGAAUAUCCUGGGAACGCUGGAAGCAAGGCGGGAAAUGCACCCUGGAUGGGACGCCAGUCCACUGCAGGGCAUCAUGAACACACUUGUCCACACACUCACUCACAUCUAGAGGCUAUUUAGAUCAACAGUCCACCUACUGGCAUGUUUUUUGGAAGAAGGGAGGAAAUCAGAGAACUCCAGAAACCCAGGAAGACAUGGAGAAAACAUGUGAAACAGAGAAAUCCAAACUCAGGAUCGAACCAGAGACCCCAUAGCUGUGAGGCAGCAAUAGCACCACCUUGCCACCCUUAUUUCACCCUUGUAUUGGUAUAUUUUCACUUGAAUAUGACGUUUAUUAAUGCAUUCCUCCACUCAUUAAUACUGGAUGAGCUUUAUUAGUUGUUCAUAGCCUUAACAGAUAUGAAGGGUCAUACAUUUUAGACAUAUUUAUGCCUGUGAUAUCUUGGUUAGAGAUUAAUCCACUAUCUCAGAUAGUAUUUAAUUUUAGGCGACUAUGAGUAAUUAUGAGUCAUAAGUUAGAAUGCCCAACCUUGAACAGUUGAUGUAUUUGGGCAUUAUUUAUUAUGCAUUAUUUAUUAAGUAAUAUAAUGUAAUAUAAUAUAAUAUUGUAGGAGAAAUCACAAUACAUCCCAGGUUCUCAUGGGUAAGAGAUUACCUCCCUGAGCCACUUUACCUUCUCUCAUCCUUGCUUCCUUUUUUUUUUUUACCCUCUUUUCAUUCUUUUUCUAUACUAUUGUCUGCAUGCCCACUUCGCUGUACCACCUUACAAUUGCUGAUCCUAUUAGAAAAUACAAGACAGAGAAGCAGCUUUGAAAUCAAUAUUCUUUUCUAUCCAUCUCGACUUCUGCCAAAGUAAAAGUCAAUACAACUAUCAGGAGGGACAACCUCUAAAGACUUGACCAAAUAUUGUUUUUUGUCAACUGAGGUAGAUGCCAGUCCCUGGCUAAUUGGAGACAGACUCAGUGUCAUGACAGGUUCCAUAUUUAGUGAGAUGGUCAGAGCUGAACUUCUGUUUCAGGAGG
ensembl:lncRNA